rnacentral:lncRNA from 1 species
CAGUAUUAUGAGCAUAGAUGAAACUUAAAUGAGUUUUGCUCUGACUUUUAGGGUCUUCUAAGAAGCAUUGAAUAAACUGGUCAGUCACAUAGGAAAUUUGAACUUGGAUGUGAGGUUUCCAGAGUAGCCAUAUCCUCCCAUUUACAGCCUUAGAAUAGUUGCAUUGGACCUUCCAUCCCUUUGCAAUCUUAUCUUGAAUCUUCUUUGCUUUAUGUUCCUUCACUCUACUUGGAUGUGAGGUUUCCAGAGUAGCCAUAUCCUCCCAUUUACAGCCUUAGAAUAGUUGCAUUGGACCUUCCAUCCCUUUGCAAUCUUAUUCUGAAUCUUCUUUUCUUUAUGUUCCUUCACUCUAGUCUCAAGACAUCCCAUAAAAUCUACUUUAUUUACAACAAGAAAGGUUUUCAGCUCUUCCUACUUAUGGGCUAGGUUUAGCCCCCUAAUGUUCCAAGUGACAAUAAUCAUAGAACAUUAAAAAAUAGGUUCUGAGAAGGCCCAGGAUCAAUCUGUUGGCCCCUUCUGCCAGCAUCUAACACAUCAAUAAUAGCCUUACCCUUAUCGCAUUUGUCUACCAUAACUUCACUGUUGCCAUUGGGUUCCUUGAUUACUAUCUCAUUCCUUUCCUGAAUGUCAGG